AAUAGUUAUAUAAUACCUGCUCACAUGUGAAAGGAAGCUUAUAGAUAAGCUGAAAGAUUGAACAAUUCUUCUGGAGCCAGAAGAAACACACCCAUGCUCUUCUGUUGAGGAUUUAUUGAUGUUAUACCAGUUGACACUCUCAUUUUAAUUCUUAUCUAUCAUGAGAUGGUGAUUUAUUACCCCUAAUGUAUAUUAAGAAAUGGCUGUUUUGGUGACGAUUUCCAGAUUUCCAUUUGAGUUGACCUGUUGAAAGUUAUUUGACUAAUUAUGAAGAACAAGAACCAGGGCCCUAUGGUUUCUUCAUUAAGAUGAGGGAAUGGAUUUCCCCCUUAUCGUCGGGGUCACCUGAGGCUUGUGGGUUACUCUCUGCCUCUCUUCAUGGUCCUGAGUGUGGGGAAGAGUUUAAGAUGUCACAAGAUGUGGUGUUUGUUUCAAUUCUGCACAGUCUACUAAAAGCAGAAUACACCUCCAUCCCUUCUAGAGACUUUAGCCGAUCCAGAAGCUGGUGUCACUCCCGUGAGUCACAACAACAAGCACUCUACCAAAAAUGCCAAGAAGGACCAGGGCAGUGUGGAUCCGUGGGGGUCUCCUCUCUUAACUGGAAGAUUCUGCACACCCUACCCUAAAGGCCGCCCUAUGGGCUCCUGGGCCCAUCCACCUCCUGAACCUUGGUGGCCCUGAGGAACACCCUAAACCCCUCCACCUACACCACUUGAUACAGAUUUUGCUCCCGUGAUUGACAACAAAACUGACUCUACCAAAAGGACCAAGAAGGACAAGGUAAGUGCUGUGGACAUUUUCAGUUGUAACUCUUUGUGGAAACCCUUAUUUUUCUGUUCAGCACUCUCUCCUGGCAUUGUGUCUGUUUUUUGUGUUGCAUAAUAUGUCUGCUUGUUUUUCUUAUUUUCAAAAUGUACAACCUUAACCCAAGUGUCUACGGGCUUCUCUAUUUUCAUCCCGUCAACUCCUUGUGGUAAGUUUAGAAGCCAAACAUGGUCAGGGCUGAGGACCUGAGGGCUUUUCCAGUAUGUGUUCCUGGAAAUAACCCAAGGAGGAUGACACCACACUCCACCUGGAAGUCUUCUGGCCUGCCUCAUUUUUUCUGGACCUCCUCAAAGUUAAAUCAUUGCUUUUGCUGUUACUUCUGUUCUGUUUCUGUCUAGGGGAUUAACGUGUUCAGAAAAUCCACGGUUAUCCUUAUGGUAUGAAAAUGCAAAAUGCCUUCACUCCAACUUUAUUUUAGAAUGUGUCAUUUAGAGUGUUCUUAGACAAAAUAAAUUUCAUACCCAUCAACA